CCUACGGGUGGCAGCAGUGGGGAAUAUUGGGCAAUGGAGGCAACUCUGACCCAGCAACGCCGCGUGAGUGAUGAAGGUCUUCGGAUUGUAAAGUUCUGUGAUGGGGGAUGAAAACAAUGACGGUACCCCAAUAGCACGCCACGACUAACUACGUGCCAGCAGCGGCGGUAAGACGGAGGUGGCAAGCGUUAUGCGGAAUGACUGGGCGUAAAGGGUGCGUAGGUGGUUUAGUAAGUCGGCGGUGUAAGGCCGGGGCCCAACCUCGGCGCUACCGCGAAAACUACUAGACUAGAGUGCAGGAGGGGUAAGUGGAAUUCCUAGUGUAGCGGUGGAAUGCGUAGAUAUUAGGAGGAACACCAGGGGCGAAGGCGACUUACUGGACUGUAACUGACACUGAGGCUCGAAAGCGUGGGGAGCAAACAGGAUUAGAUACCCGUGUAGUC
rnacentral:rRNA from 1 species